GAAGAAAUGAAAGCAUUGUAUUAGGACAGUAUUAAACCUCUUCGGCAAAGAGAAGCCCUUUAUAGUCUAACUCAAGCAAUAAUUGCAGGUAACUUCAAGCAAGAGCAGCAGAGAUGAUGGCAACAAGCCGGCAUGACAAGAGAUGCCCACUAAUCACUAUCAUCAUCAGAAAUCCUCCAACGUCAAAGA